rnacentral:rRNA from 1 species
AACGCACCUUGCGCCCUUUGGUAUUCCGAAGGGCAUGCCUGUUUGAGUGUCAUUUAAUUCUCAACCUCUUAGGGGCUUGCCCCUGAGAGGAUUGGACUUGGAGCAGUGCUGGCCCCUUAGUGGUUGGCUCCUCUUAAACUCAUUAGCGGUCUCCCUCGUUAGAUCUGACUGUUGACGUGAUAAUUAUCUGCGUCGUGGUUGGUGAAGGCCGAGUCUCCAAGGACUUGGGUUUAGAGGUUGAGGCUGCUUAUCAACCGUCCUUCACAGGACAGAGGUUUACCUCUCUUUUGACAAUUUGACCUCAAAUCAGGUAGGACUACCCGCUGAACUUAA